AUUGAACGCUGGCGGCAGGCCUAACACAUGCAAGUCGAGCGGCAGCGGGAAAGUAGCUUGCUACUUUUGCCGGCGAGCGGCGGACGGGUGAGUAAUGCCUGGGAAAUUGCCCAGUCGAGGGGGAUAACAGUUGGAAACGACUGCUAAUACCGCAUACGCCCUACGGGGGAAAGCAGGGGACCUUCGGGCCUUGCGCGAUUGGAUAUGCCCAGGUGGGAUUAGCUAGUUGGUGAGGUAAUGGCUCACCAAGGCGACGAUCCCUAGCUGGUCUGAGAGGAUGAUCAGCCACACUGGAACUGAGACACGGUCCAGACUCCUACGGGAGGCAGCAGUGGGGAAUAUUGGACAAUGGGCGCAAGCCUGAUCCAGCCAUGCCGCGUGUGUGAAGAAGGCCUUCGGGUUGUAAAGCACUUUCAGUAGGGAGGAAGGGUUAAGUGUUAAUAGUACUUAACUUUGACGUUACCUACAGAAGAAGCACGGGCUAACUCUGUGCCAGCAGCCGCAGUAACAC
rnacentral:rRNA from 1 species